rnacentral:rRNA from 1 species
UACAGGGGGGGCAAGCGUUGUUCGGAAUUACUGGGCGUAAAGGGCGCGUAGGCGGCCUGUUAAGUCGAACGUGAAAUCCCCGGGCUCAACCCGGGAACUGCGUCCGAUACUGGCAGGCUUGAAUUCGGGAGAGGGAUGUGGAAUUCCAGGUGUAGCGGUGAAAUGCGUAGAUAUCUGGAGGAACACCGGUGGCGAAGGCGGCAUCCUGGACCGAUAUUGACGCUGAUGCGCGAAAGCCAGGGGAGCAAAACGGGG